rnacentral:rRNA from 1 species
UGCGACMCCAGGUCAGGCGGGACUACCCGCUGAGUUUAAGCAUAUCAAUAAGC